AGCAGCCGCGGUAAUUCCAGCUCCAAUAGCGUAUAUUAAAGUUGUUGCAGUUAAAAAGCUCGUAGUUGAAUUUCGAGAUCAAAUUGUUGGUCGUGCCUCGGUACGUACUGGCAUUAUUGAUUUCUCCCUUCUGAAGAACCACGAUGUCAUUAAUUUGGUGUCGUGGGGAAUCAGGACUGUUACUUUGAAAAAUUAGAGUGUUCAAAGCAGGCUCACGCUUGAAUACAUUAGCAUGGAAUAAUGAAAUAGGACGCUUGAUUCUAUUUUGUUGGUUUCUAGGAUCGACGUAAUGAUUAAUAGGGAUAGUUGGGGGCAUUAGUAUUCAAUUGUCAGAGGUGAAAUUCUUGGAUUUAUUGAAGACUAACUACUGCGAAAGCAUUUGCCAAGGAUGUUUUCAUUAAUCAAGAACGAAAGUUAGGGGAUCGAAGACGAUCAGAUACCGUCGUAGUC
rnacentral:rRNA from 1 species